AAGAGUCUUUCUCUCCUUAUCCCCCGAGCAUUUCGGUCCCUCGUGAUUCGACUUCUCUUUCUGUAGUUUUAGUAUAGUAAGGUGAGCGCUGAAGCGCUGCACGAAUCUUUCUUAGAAAGAUUCAGCGACGAAGUUCUGCCCCUACAGAGCCCGACUCCUAGCUAAAAUCCCCUUGUUUCGUCGAAGGAAAUUAUUUUAAAGUAAACGAAGCGCUGUCCGAGUACCGAGUCACCACCUCCUCAAGUGUUGAUAUGAAGUGACACUACACUGAGAGAUUUAAAGAGAUGUAGAUCACUAGUGUAAAUAAUUGUAUUUGUUGAGUAAAAGAGCUACGAAUUCACGUUUUGAAGUGAUUUCACUACCAAACCAAAGGUAGCUUAGGAGCUUGGCUUGGUGAGAUGGGGUCACUUUUGGGGGUGAUUUGAAGAAGGGAGCAUGCUUAGGAUGUUCGAGGGAAGCUCUCGGUGAAGUUUCGGAGAUAAAUUGAAGAAAUGGAAAAAAAAAAUCAGAAAUUGACUAUUUUGUACUACAUUACACGGCCCGCGCAUUGGCAUGUCAUACAUUACGCGGUCGUGUUUUGCAAGCAAUUCAACACAUCAGGGCCAUUACACGUCCGUGUAACAGCAAUGCAUACGUUACACGGGCCGUGUAACGUGAUUUGACUGAUCUUUGAAUGUGUAACUCCUGAUUUAUCUUUGGUUCCUGGGAUAUUUUGACAUAACUUCAACUUGGGACUUCAAAAAGGGGAUUUUGGGAGAUCAUACCACUACUUAGCACUUUGGAAACACUUUAAUUUGCAUUUUGUAAGUUGAUUUUAAGAUCAAAACUUGUUGAAUUUGUAGUUUGAUUUAGCGUAGCUAACUUCUCUAUCAUUUCCGAUUCCAGAUUCUUAAGUGUUUGUUGUUAGAUUGUAAUUUGCACUUGAUUUUAUGUUUAUCAUCUAGUAA